GAUUAUUAAAAAGGAAAACAAGUGGCUUUUGGUUCAGAGUCGAUGUUACAUCCUGUGUUUGUUUCUUUUAUUUCCUCGGUUUUAUUUUCUUAUUUCUUCUUCACUGAUUGCCCUUUUCCGUGCUUCUUUCUUUUGAAUCUUCGUGUUAUCAUUUUUCUCUUUUUAUUUUUCUUUUUUUUCUCGAUUCAUCAAUUUUUUCUUUUUCUUUUGUUUUUGCACUUUCUUGGGCUUUGGGAGUUUUUGGGGUUUUUACCCCAAACUUAGCUUUUCAAGACAACUUUGAAUGCAUUAUCAUGACUCUGAAC
rnacentral:lncRNA from 1 species